UACAGAGGUCUCAAGCGUUGUUCGGAUUCAUUGGGCGUAAAGGGCGCGUAGGCGGCCACGCACGUCCGUUGUGAAAUCGCCCGGCUCAACUGGGCGGGGUCGGCGGAUACGGCGUGGCUGGAGCAAGCUAGGGGGCAAUGGAAUUCCCGGUGUAGUGGUGGAAUGCGUAGAUAUCGGGAGGAACACCAGUGGCGAAGGCGGUUGCCUGGAGCUUUGCUGACGCUGAGGCGCGAAAGCGUGGGGAGCGAGUCCGG
rnacentral:rRNA from 1 species